AAAAGAAAAAAUGCAUAAUAAAACCAGUUUUGAAGUGAUAAUAAAAAGGCAAUGAUAGAAAAUGAAAUGGGUCAGAAAUAAAUGCGUACUCUGAAAAGGAUUAGAUCCUUUAACUGAUGAAUUUCAGCUCUGUCACUGAUAAUUUGACACUAGCUACAAGUAUAAAGCUCCUUUAUAUACUAUCAAGUAACUGUCUUCAAGUUACAUGCUUCCCAGUGUUGGUUUCAUCACGAUGCCUGAACACUCCAGGUGACGUCAUAUAAGACUGAUAGAAGGACCUCGACUGCAGAAGAAAGGGUCCAUUGUGAGUGCAGAAACUUCAGUGUAAUCCUAGGUAGUCUGCAGAAUAGAAAAGAAAGCUGUCCUAAAUACAUUAUUCAGAUGUACUAAGUGGACUGAUUGUAACUUGAAUACUCUAGUGUUACUUAUGAUUGAAUACUACUGGAUAAAUCUUGCACUGGACAGAACAAAAAGAUGAUAUAUAACUUUCAUUUGAUCAGUUUUCAUUACAGUGAAAUUUGAUCCAUUUGUAAUUUUUUCUACGGUGUAAGGCGUAAGAAGGAGUCAUUGUAACAUUCCAGUUCACUUUAUCCAGCAGGAUAUCUAAAUGAUAUGGAAUGCCUCAGGAGUCAGUCCAUAAUUAUUACUGAGAAUCAAUGACUGUGUUGUGUCUUGUUUUCUGGUAUGACAGAAACUCAUUCCUAAUAUCUAAUUAAAAACAGUGGUUCCGAGAUAUUUUAUUGAAUGGUAACUUAUUCAUAAAAGCAAAUACUUUGGAGAAAACAGACAUGUCUGCAGCUUUAUUCCCACUCUUGCAAUGAGAUACCAAAGAAAUUAGAACUAUUUACUAUAUUCCAAAGUUAUCAUUCAAACAUUUUGCAGUCCUUUAGUAACACUACGCCUUUUCACCAUGAAAAAUCAUAGUUUAGUAAUGAAGAAAAAUUCAAUAAUUAUUUUGAAGUGUAUAAGGAUACCAGAUGGACCCAUAACAAAGAAACUACUUUCAGAAUUUGCACCUACUACAAACUAAACAAAAUUCAUAUCAUCCUUCAUUAUGAAAUUCUUUAAUGCUACCAUUUGUAUGUGACAAACAAAAGGUAUAUACUAUAUAAACUUUUCUCUUCAUGUAUGAUAGUGAGAUGUUACAAUAGUUCUGUUUUGUAAAAAUGUACUGUACAUAACUUAAGUGUAUAGGAACAAAGGCAAUCAUAAGAAUCCGUCAGCUUGUGUUUUGGAUGGACUACAGAUGUUGUGGCUGUCCAAAAGAAAAAAGUAUAAAAUGUUAUGAUCUAUUCAAUCCUUCACAAGUAAGAAGUAAUGAAGUGUAAAGUUGUACCAGAACAUUUGUUGCAUUUAACUUCUCCAUAAAACACCACUGUAGUUUUAAGAUGAGCAGAACCUUAUUUGAUUUUGGGAGUGCAUUAGAUGAAACAGGACAUAUUGUACAUUGGGAAUAUAUUUUGCAGCAAAUCAUUUCAUAUAAAAAAGAUCAUCUAAAAAAAUCUUUAUCUAAUAACAAGCCAUCAAAACUAGAGUUACCACCAAACUUGCUUGUAAAUAAAACUCACUAUAUUUUCUCACAGAGUAGAACAUUAUGUAUAAAGCUACAAACAACCAUCCAAUUAGACACUUAAGUGAACUUCAUAAAUUAGGCUCUUUGGGCAAGCAGGCUUUGUUCCUGUUUUUGGGUAUUUCAUGAAUGAUUAAAGUGAAAAUCCAUAUUGGUGCACAAGGAAAGCAAGCAUCUACAAACACAGUUAGGCCAAGGUGCUAUUAGGGAUCCCACAGGGGAGGGAAGGUGUGCUUGGAAUUUCAAAACCUAUUUUGAAGCUCCUUUAAAGAUUCUGGAAAGGCUACUGUUAUACAUGACAGCUAGGGAGUCACCAGCUUCUACAGACAUGUUUUAUGUCAGGUACUAUUACUUGAGAUUAAAUAAGACUACAUGUUACUGGCUGUUAAAUCUGAUGCAUCCCCUUGUUGAGGUUUCUAAAUAUGGUUGACAGUGUGUGAAACAUCGUAAUAUUAUUUUGGAAUGUAUAUAAAAAGCUUGUUCCCAAAUGAAGCUUCAAUCAGCCUUUGUAGAAUAUAGACAAUAUUUUAUUUGAGUGAAUUUAUUGUCCUUAUAUAAUCUUAGGGCACUGAAAGGUUAUUCCUGCCAUUCAGAGUGCAUUACUCAAGAUCAUAUAAACCAUUCUUACUCAAACCAAGUUUCUUUUGAAGAAUGUUGGGAAUAACCAAUGAUAGUUACUCUGCACAUACAGCAUUUAUAUGUCUUGACUAUGUUCUCAUGACAUAAAAGAAUUAAGUACUUUCUUUGCUCAUGAACAUGUGAUACCAGAGGAACAGUGUGUCUUCAACUUUUGCAAUAACCAGAUGUUUGGAGUGUGUCAGCAUUCAGGUGUGUGUGUGACAGCAACUUCAUUGACCUUCAUUUUCACCCAUUGUUGUUCUUGGAAUGGUACCAUAUAUUCCAAUCUUAAGCUGUAUCAUGGCCAUCUUUUCGUCCAGCAUAAGAUUUUGUGUAAUUAUUUUCUGUCUGUUUCCUUAUUCAGCUGUGCAAAUGGCAACUGUGAUGAAUGGAGAUCAAAACACUGUAUGAGGUAUGUUUUAUAUGAAAUCAGGCACUGAUAUUGUAUCUGGUCUACUUCUCUCUUUUCAGUAGAUGUUGGCAUUCUCUAAAAACAAUAUAUAUUCUCCAAAGAGAUCAUACUUUCUGACAGCAGUGAAGGAUGUUGGUAUUCCUGUGUAUGAUGCUUACCAACAAGCCUUCCAUCUUACUAUAAUUUUUGCAAGCUUCUAACUGUAGAUCUAUAUUAAUAGAGCAGUUUAACGUUGUCAAAAGUAUGCAAUUAUAAUCUCUUCAUACUUACAGUUGAUGGGGUUGAAUAUUUCUUAACCAAGCUUCUUUGUAUAUGAAAGAAAGAUUUUUAAGAAAAUAAUUUACGGCUGUGAGGAAGUUAUCCAAAAUCAUAUGAAGCCAGCUGCUUAGUUAGAAUCUAUUAGCAAAACAUAUGAAUAGGAUUAUCAAUAAUUCUGUAUUGUAAAGUCCUGUGUAUCUUAUAGGUCCGUGUACAAUAGCAGAAAGGCAUGCGCAAUACAUUGAAAUCAUUUAUGAUCAAUAAUGCUGCUCCCAGCAAUUUGGCUUAUGUUGGCCUUUUGGAGAUCUACCUAAAAUGUAUUGUAAAAUCACCAGCUUCUUGUACCAGCAUUUAGAUAGCAGCAAUAGUGCUCUGUUCUAGAUAUGUGUAUUAAGUAUAAUUACUACCUUGCCUGGGUAAAUUUACAGCUGGCUUCAAAGGCAAUUUUUUUUUUUUUUUUUUUUUUUUUUUAAUCUAUGUCAAAAGUAAGGAAUGCAGCAAACAGCUGUUUAUUAUAGAAGGAGAAGAGAACAGGAAAAAAGUUGGUACAGUAAUCAAUAUUUAUUAAUAUAUGGCUUGAAACAGUAAUAAAAAUGCAACAGUAACAUGUGUCCCCCACUAAGUUGUUUCUGCCAUGAAAAACUUUUUUAUCUUGCCUUCCAACAUACUGAGAGGAAAGCAUCUGCAUCAGCACCUGACAGAAAACUUGGUCAAAGAUACAUAUACAUUUUUACUCCAGUAGGGUGGUCUUGGAUGGUUGGUUGGUAGAGUUACCAAUUAUCCAGGUUUAUAUUAUUUGUCAAAAUAUGCCCUCUUUCCUUGAACCACUGUGAACAUUUGAAAAUGUAAAAGGUGUGUGUAAAUGAUAAAUAAUGUAACUUUAAAUCUUAAUGUGACACAGGAAGCUGUUUCCUUGCACUGAUAUAUGUGGAAUUUUUAAGGAAAAUGUUACACUGGUUUUAGCUACAAUACCAUUAUUCAGUCUAUAGUAUACUAUGUAUUUAAUAGAGAUAUGGUAAUCUUGUGUGUAGAAGAACCACUUUAUAAAACCAAAAUAGGUUUUGAAAAAGAUGUUAACAAACAUGAUGUAUGAAAUAGCAUUACCUAUAAGGAAGUACAUAAAUAUCUUUGGGGAAAUUGUGAAUGAUUGUAUGAAGAUUUUAAAUUCUUUUGGGUUUUGCUUUUCCUCCUCAGCUCACUGCAGAAAUGAGGUUGUUUGAUUGAAAUUAGCCCCACUGGUUGUUGGAUGUUGAUCUAAUGUAACUGUAGGAGGGUAAAUUUAAACAGCUUUUAUGAUAUUUGGUCAAGGGUUGAUAGUGUGGAUGAUACUAAGGGUCUUAUAAGAGCAUUUUCUUGUGUAUCUAAGCUGUCUAAAUAGACUAACCCAAACAUUAUCAAUUACACUGUGGACAUAAAGUCCAUGAGUUUGUUUUCAGAAUUUCUAAACUAAAUGAUAAAAGUGAUCCAUGUUCCCAUAAGUUUUAUGCAGAUGGUUACUGUGAAGUGGUGACUUUAAUGGAAAAAAUGCAGAUUCUCUUAGAUUCUUUAUUUCUAGAAAUUAAGAAUAAGAAUUUAUUUCAUGUUGUUCAUAAUGAGAAACUAUAAAUCAGUUGAAGAAGUUCUACACUGGAUACACUCACAUAUAUUUUUAUUUGUAGAUUCUGUGAGAUAUUUAUCUGAAUCAAGCAUUAAAAAGUAAAACUUG